rnacentral:rRNA from 1 species
CGUGCUUAACACAUGCAAGUCGAACGCGAACGUUUCCUUCGGGAAACUAGUAGAGUGGCGCACGGGUGAGUAACGCGUAAGUAAUCUACCCUCGCAUUUGGGAUAACCCACCGAAAGGUGUGCUAAUACCGGAUACGUCUACAAUUAUACUUUGUUUGUAGAGAAAGGUGGCCUCUGAUUUAAGCUACUGUGCGGGGAGGAGCUUGCGUACCAUUAGCUAGUUGGUAGGGUAAUGGCCUACCAAGGCAAUGAUGGUUAGCGGGUCUGAGAGGAUGAUCCGCCACACUGGAACUGGAACACGGACCAGACUCCUACGGGAGGCAGCAGUGAGGAAUAUUGCGCAAUGGGGGAAACCCUGACGCAGCGACGCCGCGUGGAUGACGAAGGCCUUCGGGUUGUAAAAUCCUGUCAGAUGGGAAGAAAUGCACUAUGUCUAAUAUAUAUAGUGUUUGACGGUACCAUUAAAGGAAGCACCGGCUAACUCCGUGCCAGCAGCCGCGGUAAUACGGAGGGUGCAAGCGUUGUUCGGAAUUACUGGGCGUAAAGCGCGCGUAGGCGGCUAUAUAAGUCAGGUGUGAAAGUCCACGGCUCAACCGUGGAAGUGCAUUUGAAACUGUGUAGCUUGAGUACUGGAGGGGGUAGUGGAAUUCCCGGUGUAGAGGUGAAAUUCGUAGAUAUCGGGAGGAAUGCCGGUGGCGAAGGCGACUACCUGGCCAGAUACUGACGCUGAGGUGCGAAAGCGUGGGGAGCAAACAGGAUUAGAUACCCUGGUAGUCCACGCCGUAAACGAUGUCAACUAGGUGUUGGAGUGGUUAAUCGCUUCAUUGCCGGAGCUAACGCAUUAAGUUGACCGCCUGGGGAGUACGGUCGCAAGAUAAAACUCAAAGGAAUUGACG